CCGGUGUAGCGGUGGAAUGCGUAGAUAUCGGGAGGAACACCAGUGGCGAAGGCGGCCUACUGGGCACCAACUGACGCUGAGGCUCGAAAGUGUGGGUAGCAAACAGGAUUAGAUACCCUGGUAGUCCACACCGUAAACGAUGAUUACUAGGUGUUGGAGGAUUGACCCCUUCAGUGCCGCAGUUAACACAAUAAGUAAUCCACCUGGGGAGUACGACCGCAAGGUUGAAACUCAAAGGAAUUGACGGGGGCCCGCACAAGCAGUGGAGUAUGUGGUUUAAUUCGACGCAACGCGAAGAACCUUACCAAGUCUUGACAUCCCUUGACAGGCAUAGAAAUAUGUUUUCUCUUCGGAGCAAGGAGACAGGUGGUGCAUGGUUGUCGUCAGCUCGUGUCGUGAGAUGUUGGGUUAAGUCCCGCAACGAGCGCAACCCUUAUGGUCAGUUACUACGCAAGAGGACUCUGGCCAGACUGCCGUUGACAAAACGGAGGAAGGUGGGGAUGACGUCAAAUCAUCAUGCCCUUUAUGACUUGGGCUACACACGUACUACAAUGGCGUUAAACAAAGAGAAGCAAGACCGCGAGGUGGAGCAAAACUCAGAAACAACGUCCCAGUUCGGACUGCAGGCUGCAACUCGCCUGCACGAAGUCGGAAUUGCUAGUAAUCGUGGAUCAGCAUGCCACGGUGAAUACGUUCCCGGGCCUUGUACACACCGCCCGUCACACCAUGAGAGCCGGGGGGACCCGAAGUCGGUAGUCUAACCGCAAGGAGGACGCCGCCGAAGGUAAAACUGGUGAUUGGGGUGAAGUCGUAACAAGGUAGCCGUAGGAGAACCUGCGGCUG
rnacentral:rRNA from 1 species